UUGGAGGGCAAGUCUGGUGCCAGCAGCCGCGGUAAUUCCAGCUCCAAUAGCGUAUAUUAAAGUUGUUGCAGUUAAAAAGCUCGUAGUUGAAUUUCGGGAUCAGAUUGUCGGUCGUGCCUCGGUACGCACUGGCAUUAUUGGUUCCUACCUUCUGAAGAACCGCGAUGUCAUUAAUUUGGUGUCGUGGGGAAUCAGGACUGUUACUUUGAAAAAAUUAGAGUGUUUAAAGCAGGC
rnacentral:rRNA from 1 species